GAUGAACGCUGGCGGCGUGCCUAAUACAUGCAAGUCGAGCGAACAGAUGAGGAGCUUGCUCCUCGGACGUUAGCGGCGGACGGGUGAGUAACACGUGGAUAACCUACCUAUAAGACUGGGAUAACUUCGGGAAACCGGAGCUAAUACCGGAUAAUAUAUUGAACCGCAUGGUUCAAUAGUGAAAGACGGGUUUGCUGUCACUUAUAGAUGGAUCCGCGCCGCAUUAGCUAGUUGGUAAGGUAACGGCUUACCAAGGCAACGAUGCGUAGCCGACCUGAGAGGGUGAUCGGCCACACUGGAACUGAGACACGGUCCAGACUCCUACGGGAGGCAGCGGUAGGGAAUCUUCCGCAAUGGGCGAAAGCCUGACGGAGCAACGCCGCGUGAGUGAUGAAGGUCUUCGGAUCGUAAAACUCUGUUAUUGGGGAAGAACAAAUGUGUAAGUAACUAUGCACGUCUUGACGGUACCUGAUCAGAAAGCCCCGGCUAACUACGUG
rnacentral:rRNA from 1 species